UACGUAGGGGGCAAGCGUUGUCCGGAAUUAUUGGGCGUAAAGAGCUCGUAGACGGUUUGUCGCGUCUGCUGUGAAAACGCGAGGCUCAACCUCGCGCCUGCAGUGGGUACGGGCAGACUAGAGUGCGGUAGGGGAGAUUGGAAUUCCUGGUGUAGCGGUGGAAUGCGCAGAUAUCAGGAGGAACACCGAUGGCGAAGGCAGAUCUCUGGGCCGUAACUGACGCUGAGGAGCGAAAGCAUGGGGAGCGAACAGG
rnacentral:rRNA from 1 species